CACCUUUUGUAGGCUGGCGAGCCCCUGGAAGAGGAUGGGACGAGGGCCCAGUGACGGCCCCGGGCGGGACCUGUCAGUCUUGGGCUCAGCGGACUCUCCGGCGUGGCCGGAGGAAGCCCUCCCGCCUAGCCCUGCCAAUUCUGGGGCGCCUGGACCUGAGAGCCCCCGACAGAGGAGGGGGCGCCGCACUACUUCGCUCAAGGAGGGUCUGGCCGGCGCCCAGCCUAUGACCGAGCCCUGGCCCAAAUCAAAGAAAGCCGAGGGACAGCGCGUAGGGUCGCUUCAGAUCCUCGGUCAUCUUCAGCAGCCUCCGAGGGUCUUUCUGCCACUCCUGAUUGCUCACCUUUAAUCCCCCAAGCCCUCCCCGUUCCCUUAGAAUAAAGCGCAUCCGAAGCCCUGCGUGGUUUCGCCUCUGCGGACUUCUGCAUCGCUCCUCGUGCGCUGCAAGCUUUCUUUGUUGGUAGGGUGCAUGAUCCGCUCCCUUCCCCUGCCAGCUAACACUAAUUCCUGCUGGACCUUCGGGGUGUGACUCAGCUGUCACUCCCAGCAGCCCUUCUGCGCGCACACCCUCGUCUCUAACUCCCUUAGGGGAGAAAGACCCAACCCUCCAACUCCCGGCAGCGGGGCGGUGGCCCGAGCUGUGCUUUCCCAGUGGCAGAGGAGCAGCCAGUUUGAGCGCCACCUCUGCCCAGGGGCCUGACCUCCUGAAAGGGAAUUGGCUUAGACCCUGUUUCGUACAGGGACUUGGGGAAAGCAGCGCGUCCCCCUCCCCCAACACACACCCACUCUCGCUAAUGCCUAACGCAGGAGGAGAGGGCUUUUCAUCUAGCUCCUCCCUGGGGCAGAUAAGGAACCUGAGCAGAUAAGGAAUCAGGCUCAAGGAGGAAGUCAAUUGCCCCGGGCCAAUGCAGAAAUUUACAUCCUGGUCGUUAGGGCGUCCAAACCGGAAGCUGCAGAGGAUUUGAGAUUCCCCAGCUAUAGCUACUACACAGCUUAGGAUCCUUAGUCACCUUCAAAG
rnacentral:lncRNA from 1 species